rnacentral:lncRNA from 1 species
GUCCUGUGCUUCAUUAGUCCUAGCUGGAUCAUGGACACAUUACCAUCAUUACAAAUAUCAAUAGUUUGUGAUUAUUUCAAACAAUCUGAAGUUGAAGGACCCCAGAUAUCCUUUAAAACAAGGUGGAUGCCAGUAGCAGUUGGCAUGUUUCCUUUUUCACAUUUGGCAACGGAAAGAACACCUCAAUCCCAGCAUUCUAAGCAAGAAUUGCAAGGCUCAGACACGUCAAUGCCCACUGCUAUAACUGACAAGGAAGUGGAAUGUCGUGUUUGGCUUCAACCAACAAGGGCUGGUUGGAGCUUUGAACUCCUAUCACACCAAAAAAAGAGGCUUCACUUGGAGUGCUGCCACUGGAUAGGGCCUGACUUGUUUAUCCAGAAAGAAGUGACUUCCCUGGGAAGAAGGUUGCAUCUGUGAAAGCCUGUGCAGCAUUUCAAGGACAUUCAUGUUUUCAUCAUUCAG